rnacentral:rRNA from 1 species
AUAUCAAUAAGCGGAGGAAAAGAAACCAACAGGGAUUGCCCUAGUGACGGCGAGUGAAGCGGCAACAGCUCAAAUUUGAAAUCUGGCGUCUUCGGCGUCCGAGUUGUAAUUUGCAGAGGGCGCUUUGGCAUUGGCAGCGGUCCAAGUUCCUUGGAACAGGACGUCACAGAGGGUGAGAAUCCCGUACGUGGUCGCUAGCCUUUACCGUGUAAAGCCCCUUCGACGAGUCGAGUUGUUUGGGAAUGCAGCUCUAAAUGGGAGGUAAAUUUCUUCUAAAGCUAAAUACUGGCCAGAGACCGAUAGCGCACAAGUAGAGUGAUCGAAAGAUGAAAAGCACUUUGGAAAGAGAGUUAAAAAGCACGUGAAAUUGUUGAAAGGGAAGCGCUUGCAGCCAGACUUGCCUGUAGUUGCUCAUCCGGGUUUCUACCCGGUGCACUCUUCUAUAGGCAGGCCAGCAUCAGUUUGGGCGGUUGGAUAAAGGUCUCUGUCAUGUACCUCCUUUCGGGGAGAUCUUAUAGGGGAGACGACAUGCAACCAGCCUGGACUGAGGUCCGCGCAUCUGCUAGGAUGCUGGCGUAAUGGCUGUAAGCGGCCCGUCUUGAAACACGGACCAAGGAGUCUAACAUCUAUGCGAGUGUUUGGGUGUCAAGCCCGAACGCGUAAUGAAAGUGAACGGAGGUGGGAACCUUUCGGGGUGCACCAUCGACCGAUCCUGAUGUCUUCGGAUGGAUUUGAGUAAGAGCAUAGCUGUUGGGACCCGAAAGAUGGUGAACUAUGCUUGAAUAGGGUGAAGCCAGAGGAAACUCUGGUGGAGGCUCGCAGCGGUUCUGACGUGCAAAUCGAUCGUCAAAUUUGGGCAUAGGGGCGAAAGACUAAUCGAACUAUCUAGUAGCUGGUUCCUGCC